rnacentral:rRNA from 1 species
CAAACCAAAAGCUGGCGACCGGCGCACGGGUGAGUAACACGUAUCCAACCUGCCUCAUACUCGGGGAUAGCCUUUCGAAAGAAAGAUUAAUAUCCGAUAGCAUAUAUUUCCCGCAUGGGUUUUAUAUUAAAGAAAUUCGGUAUGAGAUGGGGAUGCGUUCCAUUAGUUUGUUGGGGGGGUAACGGCCCACCAAGACUACGAUGGAUAGGGGUCCUGAGAGGAAGGUCCCCCACAUUGGAACUGAGACACGGUCCAA